AUGGUGAUGAAGGUCAUUGUCACUGUUUCUGAACAAUUCACUGGCAGUGGAUCUGUAACAGCCUUUACACUGACAAUCACUGGAGUCCAGGCUGAAGAUGCAGGAGAUUAUUAUUGUCAGCAGAGCUACCACUCUCCCCUGUGGACUUUCGGGCAAGGAACCAAGGUGGUGGUGAAAUCCGGCGCCACCGUGAAGCCCACAGUGUCGCUGUUCCCCCCGUCCCCCAUUGAGCUGUCUGCCAACUCGGCCACGCUGCUCUGCCUGCUCAGUGGCUACUCCCCCGAGGGGGCCAGCGUGGAAUGGACGGUAGACGGCUCCAAAGUGACCAGCGGGAUCCUGACCAGCGCCGAGGAGGGGAGGGAUGGGAAGUUCAGCCGCAGCAGCUCCCUGAAGCUGAGCAAGGCCGAGUGGGAGGAGUGGGAGGCCAAGGAGGAGUACGUGUGCACGGUGACCCAAGACAACUCGCCAGCCUCCUACAGCGUCCGCAGGAGUCAGUGUGCGGGUGCCGCGGCGUGAUGCUGUCCUGGGAGAAGAGGGGAAGAGCUGCCCUCCCCUCGGCCCCAGUGUGUCUGCAGAUCCUGUCGAGCCAUGCAGCAGCUCAAUAGCCUUGCAUGUUAGUCUCAGCCUCCGGCCGUCACUACAGCUUGUCUGGCAACUGGUGUGUGUUUGUGUAGUCUAGGACAUUUUUCAUUGUUUGUUUCGCUCUAGAUGUUCAAAU